AAUGAUUCACCUCAUUCUGUUACAUAAUUUGUUGUAACAAUCAAUAGCGAUUUAUGAAUGAAUAUAAAUAUAUGCAGGAUCACCGCACAGAUGGUCAAGUGGGAAUCCCAUUCUGUCAUUUCUCUCUCUCCUUUUUAGAUUACCAUUUUUAACUGAAGCAAACCAUUGCGCAAUGAACAUGCAGUUGGCAGAUCGACUGAUAUAUCACGUAAUUUUAGUAUUGUUUGGAUCUGUAACCCCUCCAACGAGCGUUUCUACGAGUUAUUCUGAAUAGACCAAACAAACUAAUUAUUAGCACUGGUGAAGCA
rnacentral:lncRNA from 1 species